rnacentral:rRNA from 1 species
CCUACGGGAGGCAGCAGUGAGGAAUAUUGGUCAAUGGACGAGAGUCUGAACCAGCCAAGUAGCGUGAAGGAUGACUGCCCUAUGGGUUGUAAACUUCUUUUAUAUGGGAAUAAAAUGUUCCACGUGUGGGAUUUUGUAUGUACCAUAUGAAUAAGGAUCGGCUAACUCCGUGCCAGCAGCCGCGGUAAUACGGAGGAUCCGAGCGUUAUCCGGAUUUAUUGGGUUUAAAGGGAGCGUAGGUGGAUUGUUAAGUCAGUUGUGAAAGUUUGCGGCUCAACCGUAAAAUUGCAGUUGAAACUGGCAGUCUUGAGUGCAGUAGAGGUGGGCGGAAUGCGUGGUGUAGCGGUGAAAUGCUUAGAUAUCACGAAGAACUCCGAUUGCGAAGGCAGUUCACUGGACUGCAACUGACACUGAGGCACGAAAGUGUGGGUAUCAAACAGGAUUAGAUACCCGUGUAGUC